GGAGGCACCUUUCGACUCUUGCAAGAAUCACCUUGGCACGCUUAUCUCGCCGGUGCGAUUGCAGUCUUUCCGGCUUUUCUUUCAGUCUUUCGUCAGAUCAAUGCGCGUAACUUCCAGAAAACGCAUCUCGCCGCCGACAUAGCGCCGACGGGACUGCUUCCUUUCUACGAUGAACGAAGCAGAUGAUGCCUUGUUGAAUAUUCUCGUUAUUGGAGAAAAAUGCAGCGGGAAAACAUGCCUUAUGCUCAGAUUUGUGGGCACUGAAUAAGAACAUGGAGGACUGUGAGACUAUUGCCGCACUUAACACAAGUUGGAGGAUCGCCCCCAGUCAAGAGAUGAGACCCGCCGCAGCUGUUUCGAUCGUCCUGCGGGGGUAGCGAUCUUCGAAACCUUCCCGGCCUGCUGCGACGAGUCACUUUGGAGAGCCAACAAUGCGCCGCCUGCGACGCCAGCGAAGUUAACCGACCAUGCACCUCCCUCGGAGAAUUAGAAACCACAGCAAAGUUAAUCAACCAAGCGCCUCCUUCGGAGAGUCGGCGACGCCAGCAAGGCUAGCCACGUUCGGCGGACCGAGCAUUGUUACUUGAUUUGCUGUCGCCUUCACGGUCUACUUGGAGCAAGAGGACUCCUGGAAAAGGGUGUUUUGCGGUGCUUUCUCACGGGCCCCAGAAAUCGACACAGUCAAUUGACUACCUGCGGGGUCAGAUCUGGAAUCAAGAGGCGCCUGUUUGGGUCAAGCGUAUCAACCCGUCCACGAGGACUCGCUCACCUCGGUGUGUUCAGUGAAACCAAAGUGCAGAAGUGACUGUGUAAACCCUUCCCCUCAAAGGCGGCUCGACUACGCCUCCAACGACCAUUGGACGGUCCGCUUGAACGGAGGUUGAACAGCAGUUUUCCCUCACCUAGGGAUCUAGGGAGCACAGAGGGGUUUUUUAAGCAGCCGUUUUACUCAUCGUACUCGUUGGCUGUGUGCUUCGUGCUUUGGCUUUCGUGCUCCAUUUCUGCAGUCAUGCUAGACUGUUGAAAUGUAUCUCCUGUCUUAAUGUAAAUAUUGUAAAGCAAUCCCGUACUCCUAGUUCUCGAUGUGAGCAAGUUCCUCCCUGCAACCACGUCCCAAGCGUGGGUGAGUUCGACAACGGCAUGGGCCAGCUACCACUUAUUUCAUGCCCGACACCAGCUCGUGCAGUAAAUAAACAUUCAAUUGCGGGAUGCGACAGCGUCGUCUGGUGUAUGUAACUUACAAUUGCCGAGAAGGACACCAGUUUAUUCCAGCAAAAGCCGAGAUGCUGAAAGUCCGGAGAUUGUAUCAGCGAUAAUUUGCUUGCAUCAUUCUGCAAAUAAAAUUUGUAGUAUCUCGAUGCAGUGAUAUAAGCUGCAACCGGUAAAACAGGAAUCAAAGGUCCACUUAAAGACGUUCUGGCUAAUACAUCUGCAUAUUUAACAGCAAUAGGCGGGCUAGAUAAAUUUCAUUUAAGUAUAAACCGCGGUGGCCAGGAUCCCACAGCAAAUAAUUUUUUUAAAGUUGUCGUGACUAAAUUUUGAAACAUACUUAAGAAAGCUGUACGCGUUGCCAUGGAAAGCAGCACAUAUACCGAUAGAGAAUCUGUAACUACGACAGCUGACGAUGGAUUAUCGGCAAGGUUGCGCAGCGCUAGAAUAGCCAAUAAUUCUGCUACGAAAACAGGCGUGCAAUCUGGAAGGCGUAUAGACCAACAGAGACGAGAGAAAAUGCCUAGGCCAGCCUUUUCUUCAGACAGUGAAGCACCAGUGGCUAUUGCUUGUUUCCAGGUGAGAAAGAUAAUCUAGUAAUUUGUCAUUUAAACGUUGGUAUGGCAUUACUUUAGCAUUUAAGGGAGAAAUAUCGCCAAAUUCUAUCUGGAGAUUCCCUAUAUGGAAAAAGAGCGCGAAAUAUUUGAUGCGCAUUUUAUAAGGAAAGCAGGCGACAAGUGCAUCAGCUGUCCGUCUUUGGUUUUGCAAGCCAAAGAAGUGACGUUUCUUUCGGGGUAUCUAGGCACAUGAACUUAUUGACCAUACAGACGUGUACAUGACCCGAUUCAUUUACAAUCUUUUGUGUGUAUGAUGAUGCGUGCGUGAUGUACCUGAUCGCAGAGCGUAAAUGACCGUUUGUAAUAAACGACAGUCCUGUCGCAUGUGUUCCUUCGUCUUUAGCGCUUUUUGAUAAAAACUGCGAAAAGGGUCUACGUUUUCCUGCCGUUAGAUCCCAUGUAGACAGGGCGCUAUCGAGAACAGUGAAAACGACGGGCCGCACAGUUUCUCAUUCCCGGUACCAGCAAAUCUCGGCCCGGGUCGUCGCACGCCGCAUUCACAGCCAUCGCCGCCAAA